rnacentral:rRNA from 1 species
UUCGGGAGGGCAAGAGUAGGGAAUCUUCCGCAAUGGACGAAAGUCUGACGGAGCAACGCCGCGUGAGUGAUGAAGGCUUUCGGGUCGUAAAACUCUGUUGUUAGGGAAGAACAAGUGCUAGUUGAAUAAGCUGGCACCUUGACGGUACCUAACCAGAAAGCCACGGCUAACUACGUGCCAGCAGCCGCGGUAAUACGUAGGUGGCAAGCGUUAUCCGGAAUUAUUGGGCGUAAAGCGCGCGCAGGUGGUUUCUUAAGUCUGAUGUGAAAGCCCACGGCUCAACCGUGGAGGGUCAUUGGAAACUGGGAGACUUGAGUGCAGAAGAGGAAAGUGGAAUUCCAUGUGUAGCGGUGAAAUGCGUAGAGAUAUGGAGGAACACCAGUGGCGAAGGCGACUUUCUGGUCUGUAACUGACACUGAGGCGCGAAAGCGUGGGGAGCAAACAGGAUUAGAUACCCUGGUAGUCCACGCCGUAAACGAUGAGUGCUAAGUGUAGAGGGUUCCGCCCUUAUUUCGAUUCUAUUAU